rnacentral:rRNA from 1 species
GACGAACGCUGGCGGCGUGCUUAACACAUGCAAGUCGAACGGAAAGGCCCCUUCGGGGGUACUCGAGUGGCGAACAGGUGAGUAACACGUGAGUAACCUUCCCUUGACUUCUGGAUAACUUCAGGAAACUGGGGCUAAUACCGGAUAGGAAUCCUUGCUGCAUGUUGGGGGUUGGAAAGCUUCGGCGGUUUUGGAUGGACUCGCGGCUUAUCAGCUUGUUGGUGGGGUAGUGGCUUACCAAGGCUUUGACGGGUAGCCGGCCUGAGAGGGCGACCGGCCACAUUGGGACUGAGAUACGGCCCAGACUCCUACGGGAGGCAGCAGUGGGGAAUAUUGCACAAUGGGCGGAAGCCUGAUGCAGAAACGCCGCGUGCGGGAGGACGGGCUUCGGGUUGUAAACCGCUUUCAGCAGGGGCGAAGCUUGUGGUGACGGUACCUGCAGAAGAAGCACCGGCUAACUACGUG